rnacentral:rRNA from 1 species
UGGGGAAUUUUGGACAAUGGGCGAAAGCCUGAUCCAGCAAUGCCGCGUGUGUGAAGAAGGCCUUCGGGUUGUAAAGCACUUUUGUCCGGAAAGAAAUCCUUGGCUCUAAUACAGUCGGGGGAUGACGGUACCGGAAGAAUAAGCACCGGCUAACUACGUGCCAGCAGCCGCGGUAAUACGUAGGGUGCAAGCGUUAAUCGGAAUUACUGGGCGUAAAGCGUGCGCAGGCGGUUUGCUAAGACCGAUGUGAAAUCCCCGGGCUCAACCUGGGAACUGCAUUGGUGACUGGCAGGCUAGAGUAUGGCAGAGGGGGGUAGAAUUCCACGUGUAGCAGUGAAAUGCGUAGAGAUGUGGAGGAAUACCGAUGGCGAAGGCAGCCCCCUGGGCCAAUACUGACGCUCAUGCACGAAAGCGUGGGGAGCAAAACAGGAUUAGAUACCCUGGUAGUCCACGCCCUAAACGAUGUCAACUAGUUGUUGGGGAUUCAUUUCCUUAGUAACGUAGCUAACGCGUGAAGUUGACCGCCUGGGGAGUACGGUCGCAAGAUUAAAACUCAAAUGAAUUGAC